rnacentral:rRNA from 1 species
CUCGUAGGCGGCUUCGUAAGUCAGGGGUGAAAGAUCACGGCUCAACCGUGGGAGCGCCCUUGAAACUACGAAGCUUGAGGCCCGGAGAGGAAAGCGGAAUUCCUGGAGUAGCGGUGAAAUGCGUAGAUAUCAGGAGGAACACCGGUGGCGAAGGCGGCUUUCUGGACGGGUUCUGACGCUGAGGAGCGAAAGCUAGGGGAGCGAACA